AGUAAUACAUAAGUAACCUGCCCUAGGACAGGGGGAUAACUAUUGGAAACGAUAGCUAAGACCGCAUAGGUACGGACACUGCAUGGUGACCGUAUUAAAAGUGCCUCAAAGCACUGGUAGAGGAUGGACUUAUGGCGCAUUAGCUGGUUGGCGGGGUAACGGCCCACCAAGGCGACGAUGCGUAGCCGACCUGAGAGGGUGACCGGCCACACUGGGACUGAGACACGGCCCAG
rnacentral:rRNA from 1 species